UGUGUUCAACACAUUCACUGAGCAGCGAAUCAUCCACGAUUCUUUGAUCCAAUCCCGGCAAGUCAGUCAAUUUCAAUGGCGGAGCUGUGCUAGUGCGCAGUUUCAGAUAUAUUUCAUCACGACUCCUGCCUGAGGAACCCUUGCUUAGCCUGUCCUGUAGAGAAUGCCGAAGAGCACUUGCAGAAACUUGCUGAGACUUAUUAUCAAUUUGUAAAACGAUUGACUUGUUGCUUAAUGAACUAUCUCUACUCAAAUCAAUGCUUAUUGGAGCCCGAGUUGCACCAUUUUCACCAGUUGGCAAAACAGGAUGUCCAAUGAGACUAUUCAGUACAGCAGAUUUACCAGCACCAACAUUGCCGAGAGAGACGACAUUGAGGAAAGUGGAGGA
rnacentral:misc_RNA from 1 species